UUGGUGGUUGUUUCUUGUUUUUUUAUUUCUGACUGGGUGCAGUUAAUAAAUUUAACAUAGAAAUAUGAAGGUAUUUUCAUGCUGCCGGUUCGGCUAGACUGGUAAAUAUCCCAGAGUUCUGAAUUUUUGCUUUAUUUCCGCGGAUAGAAAGCUAUUUCGAUGGCAGAACUUGAAUCUUUGAACCCCGACAGUCGCGUAGGAACCAUUGGGUAUAUUAGUAAAGCUGAUGUGGAAUUGCAUAUAAAGAAGGAGAUUGAAAUAAGUUUCAAACCAGAGCCACACGAAUGCGUUACGUGCUCAAGCCGGGGCCGCGACGGACACGAUAUCUUUAACAGUAAUACGGCUUCCGGCAUUUCAUUGAACGACUUCCUAUACAAGUUUACACGCGUAGACCUCACCUCAGCUGAAAAUUACCCUAAAUAUAUGUGUAAGACAUGUUUUGAACUUAUUAAUGUCUUGGAAGCAGCAGAACUAGAAUAUUUAAAGCUUAAGCAAGCCUUUGAGGACAUCCUUAGAAGAAAUCCCUUAUUUGACACAACAUCCCAUCCUGUUGAACUUGGUGCAGUAAAGACAGAAGUUAUUGACGAAAUCUACAACACAAGGAAUAGAGAUUUGGGACUUGACUCAGAAGAUGAACCACUUGCAGUCACUAAAAAGAAGAGACACCGAAAGCCUGACAAAGCUAAAAAGAAGCUCUCCAAAAGUGCACCUAAAAGAAAGCCAAAGAAUGCUGAUAACAUUGAGAGUUGGCAGUGCAAUGUGUGUGGCAAGAAAGGAGAGAGUGGAGGUAUUGUUGCGGAGGCAGCCCAUAAGUUGGCUGUUCACAGCUUAGUUGCAGCCGCUGCCCCGAGCCUCGAAAAUGUUAAAAGAGAAAAUUCAACAGAUGGGACCCACAGUCCAGAUUAUAGUAAUGGUUUUGAUACUGCUAGUGACAGUUUAUUCAAAAUUGAAAUGGGUGAUUUCGAAGAUGAUGAUGAUGAUGACAGUGACAACUAUAUUCCGGAUGACAUUAGCACAUCUGAGGUGACUCGUAAAAGAUCUCGAAUACUCUCAUCAAAAAAAAGAAAAGGCCAUGGGGAUAAAGUCAUGCAUCAAUGUGACCAGUGUGACCUGAAAUAUUCAUCUAAGGUGCGGCUCCAGCAGCACAAACGCAAGCAUGACGACUCAAAGCCACCGUACAUCUGCGAAGUUUGUGGCGCUCACUACAAGCACAAGCGCGCGUGCGACAUACAUGUCGCUCUUCAUAAAGGUAUUAGCGACUGGAAAUGUGAAGAAUGUAAUAAACUCUUUCCAUCUAAAGGUGCACUGCAUAGACAUAAUAAUAUACACACCGGGAAACCCAACUAUCAGUGCGACCUGUGCGGCAAGUCGUUUAUCCACACGUCGUCGUUCAAGAUGCACAAGCUCUCGCACUCGGGCGUCAAGCCUCACGCGUGCGACGUGUGCGGGCUGGCGCUCAUGACGCGCUCGCACCUCAAGCGGCACAAGCGCGUGCACAGCGGCGAGAAGCGACACGAGUGCCCCAUCUGCGGGAAACGCUUCUCUGAGAGGUACAAUUUGGUAGCUCACAGCAAAUCGCACUCGGGUGAGAGUGCACAGGCGCCGGCGACACCCGGCACGUCACCACCGCGGCGCCGUCUCUUCCGUUGUAAUUUCUGUCAGGAGCGAUUUGAGCGUCGCUACAUGCUUGAGAGACACGUAUCUGUCAUUCACGGACGGACGCUAGAACGUCCUCCACCGACUCCACGUAACACGAUGAGCAAAAUGCUUAAAGCUCAAGCACAAGCGAGACGAUCACCAACUCAUUCAUCUAACGAAACGACUACUAAAGAGGAACCGAGCCCAGAUACCACAGAAAAAAUACCUUCAUCAAGCAGUGCGUGGACCAAUGCUUAUGUCCAGGAAUUCGGAUUGAGACCGGAAUAUCAACAUUGAUUGUUACUUCUUUGUGAGCGAACAGAGUUAGUUACUCUGCCCGCCACACUAGAGAUAGGUAUCAAGGAAACAAGGAGAUAUUAAUUUUAAGUAAUGAAAAAUGAUAUAUGGAAAUAUUAUAAAUGUUUUUAUUAUGUUUAUGAAUAAUAAAUGUUUCUUAAUGUUUUAAUUUUAUUUAGAGUUCAAAAUAUAGUCUACACACUCCGCCUCACAGCAACAAAAUGUAGCCUUGUAACGGCUACUUUCUAUUAUUUAUUUGUAAACCUUGGUAUCCAGGAUGUGUUCUAAAGAGCACA
rnacentral:misc_RNA from 1 species